rnacentral:rRNA from 1 species
GACAGAGGGGGCAAGCGUUGUUCGGAAUUACUGGGCGUAAAGGGCGCGUAGGCGGCCAUCUAAGUCAGACGUGAAAUCCCCCGGCUUAACCUGGGAACUGCGUCUGAUAUUGGACGGCUUGAGUAUGGGAGAGGGAUGUAGAAUUCCAGGUGUAGCGGUGAAAUGCGUAGAUAUCUGGAGGAAUACCGGUGGCGAAGGCGGCAUCCUGGACCAUUACUGACGCUGAGGCGCGAAAGCUAGGGGAGCAAACGGG